rnacentral:rRNA from 1 species
CCCCUGUGAACAUACCACUUGUUGCCUCGGCGGAUCAGCCCGCUCCCGGUAAAACGGGACGGCCCGCCAGAGGACCCCUAAACUCUGUUUCUAUAUGUAACUUCUGAGUAAAACCAUAAAUAAAUCAAAACUUUCAACAACGGAUCUCUUGGUUCUGGCAUCGAUGAAGAACGCAGCAAAAUGCGAUAAGUAAUGUGAAUUGCAGAAUUCAGUGAAUCAUCGAAUCUUUGAACGCACAUUGCGCCCGCCAGUAUUCUGGCGGGCAUGCCUGUUCGAGCGUCAUUUCAACCCUCAAGCACAGCUUGGUGUUGGGACUCGCGUUAAUUCGCGUUCCUCAAAUUGAUUGGCGGUCACGUCGAGCUUCCAUAGCGUAGUAGUAAAACCCUCGUUACUGGUAAUCGUCGCGGCCACGCCGUUAAACCCCAACUUCUGAAUGUUGACCUCGGAUCAGGUAGGAAUACCCGCUGAACUUAAGCAUAUCAAU